GUGCCAGCAGCCGCGGUAAUACGUAGGUGGCAAGCGUUGUCCGGAUUUAUUGGGCGUAAAGGGCGCGCAGGCGGUUCGUUAAGUCCGAGGUGAAAUCUCCCGGCUCAACUGGGAGAGGUCUUCGGAUACUGGCGGACUGGAGGUGAGCAGAGGUGAGUGGAAUUCUCGGUGUAGUGGUGAAAUGCGUAGAUAUCGAGAGGAACACCAGUGGCGAAGGCGGCUCACUGGGCUCUACCUGACGCUGAGGCGCGAAAGCGUGGGGAGCGAACCGGAUUAGAAACCCUCGUAGUCC
rnacentral:rRNA from 1 species